rnacentral:rRNA from 1 species
CCCUUAGAUGUUCUGGGCCGCACGCGCGCUACACUGACGGAUUCAACGAGCUUACAACCUUGGCCGAAAGGUCUGGGUAAUCUCCAAAAUCCGUCGUGAUGGGGAUAGAUUAUUGCAAUUAUUAAUCUUCAACGAGGAAUGCCUAGUAAGCGCAAGUCAUCAGCUUGCGUUGAUUACGUCCCUGCCCUUUGUACACACCGCCCGUCGCUCCUACCGAUUGAAUGGUCCGGUGAAGCGUUUGGACUAUGGUUUUCUGAUGGUCCGCCGUUGGAUUACCGUGGGAAGUUCGUUAAACCUUAUCAUUUAGAGGAAGGUGAAGUCGUAACA